rnacentral:rRNA from 1 species
GCCUGUUUAACAAAAACAUCGCCUCCUGCAACAUAACCAAGUAUAGGAGGUCCAGCCUGCCCAGUGACCACAAGUUCAACGGCCGCGGUAUUUUGACCGUGCAAAGGUAGCGCAAUCACUUGUCUUUUAAAUAGAGACCUGUAUGAAUGGCUAAACGAGGGCUUAACUGUCUCCCCUUUCAAGUCAGUGAAAUUGAUCUACCCGUGCAGAAGCGGGUAUAAUUAUACAAGACGAGAAGACCCUUUGGAGCUUAAGGUACAAAACUCAACCACGUCAAGCAACUUAAUAAAAAGAAAAAACCUUGUGGAACAUGAUAUUUUACCUUCGGUUGGGGCGACCACGGAGGAAAGAAAAGCCUCCAAGUGGAUCUGGGAAAAUUUCCUAAAGCCAAGAGAGACAUCUCUAAGCCACAGAACAUCUGACCAAACAUGAUCCGGCAACAAAGCCGAUCAACGAACCAAGUUACCCUAGGGAUAACAGCGCAAUCCUCUCCCAGAGUCCAUAUCGACGAGGGGGUUUACGACCUCGAUGUUGGAUCAGGACAUCCUAAUGGUGCAGCCGCUAUUAAGGGUUCGUUUGUUCAACGAUUAAAGUCCUACAUGAUCUGAGUUCAGACCGGAG